rnacentral:rRNA from 1 species
AUGACGCGAUCCCCAGCUGUGUUGCUAGUGAGAGGUCCGCCCUUCUUGCCUUCAGGGCAGGUCUAUCAGACCCUGCCAACCUCCUUUCAUCAUGGAAGGGUGACGACUGCUGCUGGUGGAAGGGCGUCUAUUGCAGCAACACAACCGGCCAUGUUGUCGAGCUGGAUCUCCAAGGCACUUAUUGCAAAACUGCAGAUUGGAGUACGCCGGUGCUAG